UACGAAGGGAGCUAGCGUUGUUCGGAAUUACUGGGCGUAAAGGGCGCGUAGGCGGCUUAACAAGUCAGAGGUGAAAUCCCGGGGCUCAACCUCGGAAUUGCCUUUGAAACUGUUAAGCUAGAGUUUUGUAGGGGAUAGUGGAAUUUCUAGUGUAGGGGUGAAAUCCGUAGAUAUUAGAAGGAACACCAGUGGCGAAGGCGGCUAUCUGGACAAAUACUGACGCUGAGGCGCGAAAGUGUGGGGAGCAAACAGG
rnacentral:rRNA from 1 species